CACGCAGUUCGACACCGCACUGGGCUGGUCACCGCGUCCCGGGCCGGCGAUGGUCCUGCGGUUCGCGCUCUGCGCGGUGGUGCUGUUCGUCUUCGCCGCACCGUUCCCGACGAUCAUCUCCGGUGCCUUCAACGAGACGACCGACUCGACCCAGGUGAGCCUGUUCCCGUCGGACCCGACGCUGCUCGGCUUCCGCAACGCCGCGGAGAAGGGGGUCUGGGGCUACUUCCUCAACUCGCUG
rnacentral:misc_RNA from 1 species